GAGGUAUUAGUAAAAUAAUUACAUAACUUUGUCGAAGUUAAAUUAUAGGCUCAAAUCCUAUGUACUUCC
rnacentral:tRNA from 1 species